rnacentral:rRNA from 1 species
CCUACGGGUGGCAGCAGUGGGGAAUAUUGGACAAUGGGCGAAAGCCUGAUCCAGCCAUGCCGCGUGUGUGAAGAAGGCCUUCGGGUUGUAAAGCACUUUCAGUGGGGAAGAAAGCCUUGGGGCUAAUACCCUCGAGGAAGGACAUCACCCACAGAAGAAGCACCGGCUAACUCCGUGCCAGCAGCCGCGGUAAUACGGAGGGUGCGAGCGUUAAUCGGAAUUACUGGGCGUAAAGCGCGCGUAGGCGGUCUGAUAAGCCGGUUGUGAAAGCCCCGGGCUCAACCUGGGAACGGCAUCCGGAACUGUCAGGCUAGAGGGCAGGAGAGGAAGGUAGAAUUCCCGGUGUAGCGGUGAAAUGCGUAGAGAUCGGGAGGAAUACCAGUGGCGAAGGCGGCCUUCUGGACUGACACUGACGCUGAGGUGCGAAAGCGUGGGUAGCAAACAGGAUUAGAUACCCGAGUAGU